rnacentral:rRNA from 16 species
UGCGGAAGGAUCAUUAC